rnacentral:snRNA from 1 species
GGGGAAGACCAUCCGGAGCA